UACGUAGGGGGCAAGCGUUGUCCGGAUUUAUUGGGCGUAAAGAGCGUGUAGGCGGCCAUUCAGGUCAGCUGUGAAACUCGAGGCUCAACCUCGAGACGUCGGUUGAAACCGUUUGGCUAGAGUCCGGAAGAGGAGAGUGGAAUUCCCGGUGUAGCGGUGAAAUGCGCAGAUAUCAGGAGGAACACCGAUGGCGAAGGCAGAUCUCUGGGCCGUAACUGACGCUGGAGGAGCGAAAGCAUGGGGAGCGAACAGG
rnacentral:rRNA from 1 species